rnacentral:rRNA from 1 species
UACGUAGGGGGGCAAGCGUUGUCCGGAUUUAUUGGGCGUAAAGAGCGUGUAGGCGGUCAGGUAGGUCGGUUGUGAAAACUGGAGGCUCAACCUCCAGACGUCGACGGAAACCGUGUGGCUAGAGUCCGGAAGAGGAGAGUGGAAUUCCUGGUGUAGCGGUGAAAUGCGCAGAUAUCAGGAAGAACACCAAUGGCGAAGGCAGCUCUCUGGGACGGUACUGACGCUGAGACGCGAAAGCGUGGGGAGCGAACAGG